rnacentral:rRNA from 1 species
AGCAGCCGCGGUAAUUCCAGCUCCAAUAGCGUAUAUUAAAGUUGUUGCAGUUAAAAAGCUCGUAGUUGAAUUUCGGGAUCAAGGAAUCGGUCGUGCCUUGGUAUGUACUGGUUUUAUUGGUUCUCACCUUCUAAAGAACCAUAAUGUCAUUUAUUUGAUGUUAUGGGGAAUUAGGACUGUUACCUUGAAAAAAUUAGAGUGUUUAAAGCAAGCUUACGCUUGAAUACAUUAGCAUGGAAUAAUGAAAUAGGACGUUUGAACCUAUUUUGUUGGUUUCUAGGAUCGACGUAAUGAUUAAUAGGGAUAGUUGGGGGCAUUAGUAUUCAAUUGUCAGAGGUGAAAUUCUUGGAUUUAUUGAAGACUAACUACUGCGAAAGCAUUUGCCAAGGAUGUUUUCAUUAAUCUAAGAACGAAAGUUAGGGGAUCGAAGACGAUCAGAUACCGUCGUAGUCUUAACCAUAAACUAUGCCGACUAGGGAUCGGAUGAUGUUAAUUUUUUAAUGACUCAUUCGGCGCCUUA